UACGUAGGGAGCAAGCGUUGUCCGGAAUCAUUGGGCGUAAAGCGCGCGUAGGUGGCUCUGUAAGUCCGUUGUGAAAGUCAAAGGCUCAACCUUUGAAAGCCGAUGGAUACUGCAGAGCUAGAGUACGGAAGAGGCGAGUGGAAUUCCUGGUGUAGCGGUGGAAUGCGCAGAUAUCAGGAGGAACACCAAUAGCGAAGGCAGCUCGCUGGGACGUAACUGACGCUGAGACGCGAAAGCGUGGGGAGCAAACAGG
rnacentral:rRNA from 1 species